CAGUUUACCAGACUUUAAUAGGCAAAAAAGGGUUGCUUUGGCAAUGUAUAAAAGGAUAACUAUUACAGUACAAAUCAUUGUUUCAUCUACUUUUAUUAAAUAUUAAAAUGCAAUAAGGCAACCGUUGUUUUAAGACACCUGAAAUUACAUUUAAUAAAUGGAUAACUGGCCCCACACCUGACAUAUUGCACCCCUACUUUCCUUCUCUAUUUACUCUAAGGAACCAAAACAAUUAUUCUAAAAAAACCAGAUCGGUGUUCUUUCUUAAAACACCUCAAAGAGAUUCUGAUUUGUACUAAGGUAUUUCUUACAAUAUAAACUUCUGAAAAAGAAGACACUGUAUUAUCUUUUAAGUUUUUUUCCUCGAAUGCAUUUCUCCUGUGCCCUGUUCUCUUGAAUCCAUUCCUAACUGCUCAGCUGAAAGUAUGCCACUGAGGAAUCAAGAGAUGUAACGUAUUGUGUAAGCUGCCAUUCAAGGCCAGGCAGUGAUUCUCAAACCUGGCCUCCUUCCAGUUCAUCUGGGACACUGAUGCGAUAGAUUCCCGGGCCCCCUCAGACCCAAGGAAGCCGUCCCCUCCACCCUAACGUCCCGUCACUCUGUGUGGUUAGUCUCGCAUAAGCCAACAUUUGGGAUGACAACAAACAACACUGAAAAGGAAGAUAUUCGUCGUCGUGUUUUCACAGGUCUUGGCUCACAAACUGGGAGCCAGUGAAAAAAUACAAUGUUGAAUCAUUAGCACUAAAUGACCAGUGAGCAGAGUGACCCACAAACAACUCUAGUAUCAACAAAUCGACCAAAGGAAGCCCUGCUGCCCCCUCCAUGAACGCCAGCCCGCUUCCUGCCCCCAGAGGGCCUCAUGGACCAACACAGAGGAAGGCAAGCAGACAAAGGCAUAGGGUGGGGUGGCUGUUUCCCCAUCAUCUCUCUCCAUCACUGCAUCCCCACUUUCAUUCCAUCUUUUCUCUUACUCUGCCUUUUGCCAUUCUCACUCUUAUACCCUUCUCUUUCCUCACUUUUCUCACUUUCUCUCUUUUCCUUCUUUUUUUGAUCAUUCACUUACAUCAUUCUUUUCUUCUCUGCUUUCCUUUCCUUAAAAACUCUUCCUUACCUAAUAUAAGCAAAUUCAUACUGGAGCCACAAUAUAUGUCAGGAAACAUUCAGCCUAAGGAAACAGAAUGAUCUGCACAGGAGACAGCAAGAUGAAACAGACCUUUGACAGCAAGGCUGCUGUGGCACCAUAUAAGCCAUGCAGAAUGUGUUCAAAUCCCUCCUCUCUUCCGUGUCUUGUAACUUCGUGACUCAUGACUUCUGAGUCUCAUGAGGUUGAAAGGGCAUAUUGAUUGUUUACAAACCUAAGGCACAGAGAAGGUUAAACGAUAUGCCUGGGGUCCCUAAGCAAGAAGAGAAUCCAGAUCUAGUUCACAGUCUGGUGUUCCUUCCAUUACACCAAUAACAUCUGACUAGAGGCAAAGAGCAGUCUGUCAGCAGUGAUAUCGUUUCAGGCUCGAAAAUCUCCAAAGACAACUGGGUUACUUUAAAUAUUAUGAACUAUUCUUUCUUCAUGGGGGAAAAACAUAUCUUCAUAAAAUGUAAAUCACAACAUAUAUUUUCUAAAGGUUUCCAAGUUCUUUUAAAAUGGCUACUUCACACAAAGGAAAUUUGACUACAUUUUAAAGUCAUUCCACUUUGGUAAUACUGUAACCCAGAGAUAGUUCUGAGGUCAGAAUUGUUCUAACACGUAGACUCAAAGAAUAGAUAAUGUAAUUUAUAUAAACUGCAUAGAUAUACUGUUUCACAAAAAGAAAUAUGUUCUCUAAGCUGUUCUACAAUUUAACCUCAUUAACGCCAAGAACUGCAUUUCUUGAGUAUGCUCAAGGAAAAAGUUACCAUAUAAAUUCAGAAAACUCCUUUUAAUAUUGUUAUGGAUGUUCUGUGAUAUCCUAAACUUUAAGUAAAAUAGUCCCUAAGAGGAGAGUUUUCACCAUAACCCAAUUUAUGGUAAAAUGCCCAAUUGGGUGAGGUCUGAAUAAACCAGAAGAACCUUCCAACUGAUCCACAAUGUAGAGUGUGUGACAGUGUUAAUAAGCCACAACAUGUGAGACCACAGUAUACAGUCCAACUGGAUUAAACUAUGACCACACUCCACACAGUUCCAAUCAAUCAUAGCAAAGUCCACAUGGUUGAGAGUCUCUGUUCACUGAGGAAAUUAAAUCUAAGGAACUUACUAAUAACAUAAAUUCAUAUCUUGUCAAUAACCCCACGUAAUUCCUUUAAUAUUUCAGAAUCACAUUUAUAAUCUACCAACUGUGCCAAGAACUAUGGAAUCCUAACUUCAAUGUUCAAGUUGGCAAAAUGAUUUCCAGUGGUUCCCAAACUAGCUGACAUCAAAAUCGUCUGAGGUGCUUAUUAAAAAUAGCAUCAUAAUGUGACUUAUUUUUGCACCCCGAUUCUAACAUUGGAGACAAUAAGGGAAAUCUGCUUAAGGACUGGAUAUUCACUUAAUACGGUGGAGGUCUGAUGUCAUUGUAGUUCUCAAAGUGUUCAUAGUGGUGAAAUAACACGAUGUCUGGGAUCUUUAAGAUACUUCAGCAAAGAAAAAAGGCCUAGAUGAUGCAAAUAUGGUAAGAUAUUGGUAAGUGUUUGAUGUGGAGAAUGAGCACCACUGUACUAUUCUCUCUACUUUUGUGUAAUUUUAAAAUCUCUACAUUAAAAAAAAAGUUUGCAGCCCCUAUCCUAGACACAGUGUAUCUCUCAACGGGCUCCCCAAGAGGAUCUAACACAGCCACAGAGGCAAUGGUCUCACUUGGGGUCCGUUAGAAAUGAUCUUACAUAUACCCUCCAAACUUCAAAUUCUAGGAUUCUCAUUUUCAACUCAGCAAACUCAAUUUCAACCGAGUUCACAAGUUCUUAUGUUCACCAUGGCACUCUGCCAAAGAUGCAGAGAUUGUGCUCUGUAGAUGCAGCUGCUCUAGGAGUGCUGGGCUGGUUAUCAACUUCUAUCUAAUUUGCCUCUCAUACACCUUCCUCUUUCAGUUUGUCCCUGACUGAACAACAAAAGACAGGACAACUGUACAGACCAGCUCCUUCUGCAUAUUCUCUGUAUCCAGAGGGCACUAUGUCUUCAUAAGCCAAAAACCACUAUUUUCACAUAAGUGAUAUUUUUCCUUCAUGAUCUUCCCUUCUCUAAGAAUUAAAACAUCAAAAAGAGAAAAAGACGA
ensembl:lncRNA